CGCGGCCUAUCAGCUUGUUGGUGGGGUAAUGGCCUACCAAGGCUUUGACGGGUAGCCGGCCUGAGAGGGUGACCGGCCACACUGGGACUGAGACACGGCCCAGACUCCUACGGGAGGCAGCAGUAGGGAAUCUUGCGCAAUGGGCGAAAGCCUGACGCAGCGACGCCGCGUGAGGGAUGAAGGCCUUCGGGUUGUAAACCUCUUUCAGCAGGGACGAAGCCCUUUGGGUGACGGUACCUGCAGAAGAAGCCCCGGCCAACUACGUGCCAGCAGCCGCGGUAAUACGUAGGGGGCAAGCGUUGUCCGGAUUUAUUGGGCGUAAAGCGCGCGUAGGCGGCCGAUCGCGUCGGAUGUGAAAGCUCGGAACUCAACUCUGAGAGGCCAUUCGAUACGGAUCGGCUAGAGGUAGGUAGGGGAGAGUGGAAUUCCUGGUGUAGCGGUGAAAUGCGCAGAUAUCAGGAGGAACACCGAUGGCGAAGGCAGGUCUCUGGGCAUUAACUGACGCUGAGGAGCGAAAGCAUGGGGAGCGAACAGGAUUAGAUACCCUGGUAGUCCAUGCCGUAAACGUUGGGCACUAGGUGUGGGGGACAUUCCACGUUUUCCGCGCCGUAGCUAACGCAUUAAGUGCCCCGCCUGGGGAGUACGG
rnacentral:rRNA from 1 species